AACACUUUGGCGGAUAGAGCAUCUGCCUUCUAAGCAGAGGGUUGCAGGUUCGAGUCCUGCCGGAGUAGCCA
rnacentral:tRNA from 1 species